AACCAGUUUCUGGAACAAGACAAGCUUCCCGAGCCUAGGAUUUUCGGAACCCACUCACCUUACACGGCACUCCCGUGUUCGGUCAAAGAUUCUGCUGCUAAGAUUGUGUAUGUGUGUCGGAAUCCUCUGGACAUGUUCAUUUCCUAUUGGAAAUUCAGUGUCAAUAUCCCGAAGGAGAAUGAGAAACACCUUUCACUAGGAGACGCUUUUGACAAGUUCUGUCAGGGACUUCAUGGCUACGGUCCAUUUUGGGAUCAUUUAUUAGGGUAUUGGAAGGCAAGCUUGGAGAGACCUGAUAAGGUCUUGUUUCUGAAAUACGAGGACAUUAAAAAGAACAAUGUCCCUAGCAUCAAGAAGCUGGCUACCUUUCUGGGGCUUCCUUUCUCUGUGGAGGAAGAGAAGCAAGGUUUGAUAGAGGAAACAUCAAGGCUAUGCAGCGUUGAAAGCAUGAAAAACCAUGAAGCAACCAUGACAGGCACAGGCCCUCUUGGGAUCCCAGCUAGUGCCUUCCUCAGGAAAGGAAAGGUGGGAGAUUCACUGAAUUAUCUAACACCCUCAAUGGUGAGCCGUGUGGAGAAUCUGAUUCAAGAGAAGCUCCAAGAUUCUGGUCUCUGCUUCUGUCUGUCUAGCACUUUCCAAAAUAGUGCUUGACUUGAGUUCAGAUAUACAGCAUUAAUGUUAUUGCUGUAUUGAUCUAUAUUUAAUGAUUGAAAAAAUAAGAUAUCUAUAGAGAAUAAGUGAUGAAAGAAUUGAAAUGAGAGGAGAGAAAGUCAAAUCAACGAUUUCUUGUUUUAUUUUCUGGAUAUGCAUGUGGAAGGAACCUAUGGAGAGAAUGGAAUUAACUUUCCGUCACUCAAAGAACUUUCAUCUGUUUUUGCAUGGUUAUCAAGCCUAGCUAAAUUCAUGAUUACAUCAAUUCAAAACAGCAUAAUUUCUAAAAGAAUUAAAAGUAGAAAUGACUUCAUUUUAAUUUUUCUUAAAAAAAAAACAUGUUCUUUUCUGGGUUUUGAUUAGAUCAUGGCUAGAUCUAUUAGGUUGACCAAAUCAACUCUUCCAAUUUAUUUUGAUAUAAAAUCCCAUUCGGAUCAAAUCUCAGGUUCAUAAGUCACUAAGCUAAUCGAUUAGGUCAGGUUUUAUAAUUAUAUAUUUUUAUAGUAAGCUAUACUUUUACUUAAAUUCAUAAUUUUGAAAUUUGAUCUUUUAUAGAUUAGAACUAGAUAGGUGGCUCUUACUUUAUUGUGGGCGGGCUGGUUUUUCUAUAAUAUUAAAAAAUGAUUCUCAAGCGUUGUAAGCGUGUUUAUAAGAAGGGAAAAAAAUUAAUGUUCAUUCAAUUAUAUGAUAUAUUAAACAAUAACAAUAAACAAACUGAAUCUUAAAAGAAAACAUGGUAUAAUGAUAACCAAAAGAAAAGGAACCUUUCUUCAUGGGGAAAAAAUCACAUAGCCGAAUUCCAAGAUAACCCUUAAAGGAAAAAAUAAGAAAUGAUAAAAUAAAGUGCAGUCAACCCGAGUUGGCAUGCUAAACUCAUAACCCUGGUCACGAGGUCUCUCUAGUCUCAAAGAAAACAAAUUGAAAAAAAUAAUGAAAAGAAACCUAAAAAAAAUAAAACAUUUGCAAAACUGGGUAAAGUAGCUAAAGCUCGCGAGCUGGAUCAUGCGAUUGAGUUAACCUAAUAGAAGGCAAAACAAGAAAAAUGAUGAAACUUAAUUUUAAAUUGAACCCAAUUUUAAAGGACAAAGUCGAAAAAAAUUUAAAAGAAACUCCAAAAAAAUAGUUGGGUUAAUCAGCUAAACCUGUUGUCCGGAUCAUGAGAUCAGGAUAACUUGAUUGAAAGAAAACCAAAGAAAAGCAUGAGGUUCAUUUUUCAAAAAAAUCAACGUCGAAGGAUGAAAUUGAAAAAGAAAUAAAUGAAAAAGAUGAUGCCGAUCCAAGUUAACUUUUUAAACACGUGACUUAAGUCACUAAACCAGAAGCAUCCCAUUUGAAAAAUCAUGAAGUCUAAUUUUUAAUAAAUAAAAUAUAGAAGGUUAACAUAUCUUAAUUUUAAAAAGAACUCAGUUUUGAAGAAUGAAAUUAAAAAAAUAAUAUAAAAAGAGAUUCUAAAGAAAUUGUCGGGUUAACUGGCUAAACUUAUUGACCAGGUAAUGAGACUAGAAUAACGUGAUUGAAAGAAAAUCAAAGAAGAUCAUGAAGCCCAUGUUUCAAAAUAAACAACUUCAAAGGAUAAAUUGAAAAAAAAAAAUAAGUGAAAAAAAUGAUGGCAUUCCGUGUUGACUUUUCAAACUUGUGACCCAACUCACUAAACUGGAAGCACCCCAUUUAAAAAAAUCAUAAAGCCUAAUUUGUAAUAAAUCAAAUGUUAAAGGAUGAGAAAGCUUAAUUUUAAAAAGAACCCAAUUUUUAAGGACAAAAUAAAAAUAUAUAUAUAAAAAAAUGACUCCAAAAAAAUGAUUAGUUUAACCAGCCAAACGUAAUGCUUAGUUCAUAAAAUCUGAAUAACCUGAUUGAAAGAAAACUAAAGAAAAUUAUGAAGCUUAUUUUUCAAAAUAAAUAACGUUGAAUGAUGAAAUUAAAAAUUAAAUACAAAAACUCUAUGUUAACUUUUCAAACUCGUAACCCAAGUCGCUAAAUCAGAAGCAACAAUUGAAAAAUCAUAAAGUCUAAUUCUCAAUAAAUCAGACAUCAAAAGAUGAUAUUUUAAAACAAAAAUUAUAAAAAAUAUCAAAAACAAAAUAACAAUUAAGAUAAUAAAGAUCAAAUGUGAAAUAAAAAACAAAUGAGAUGACAACUUAAAAUUUUGAAUUGAAGGGUAAAAUAAAAAAAAAAUCCAAUUCAUAAAAGAAUUUUAAAAAAAAAUCAAAACCAAAAUCAAAAGAAUGAUGACCAGAUUUGAAAAAAUAAAAAAUCACAAUUAUAAAUUUAAUGAUAAAAUUAAAAAUAAAUUGUGAUUUGAUAAAAGAGUUGAAAUACCGGUAAAUAAAAGAAUAAUUUUAAAAUUUUAAAUGAGAAACAUGGUUUCAAGGGGGAAAAAGAAAAGAAUAGAAAAAAAUAUUCCAUUUACAAUACAUCGUGGCCUAAACGACCACAAGUAUUGCCGUAUGUUAAAGAAGCCAUGGCGCUUCCAACGCGGUUGUAGAAAGCGAUAUUUAGGUGCUAGAUGACCCCAUAAGCCCAAAGGGCAAGGCCAUUCCCUCACGCCGCCUUUGUUUUAAAUGUAUUUAUACUUGUUAAACUACUAAAAUGCCCCUCGAUUAUAGCCAUUAUAACAAAAAAACAAUGGUAGAAUAAAGAGAUUUUGUUUUCAGGAAUAAUUUAGCCAUUGUAGCUAAAAUGCCCCUCGAUAAGCUAGCAAAGUGAUUUUUUUUUUCUUUUAAGGAGGUGAUACACUGAUUACAUUUAACCGGAACAAGUCCCUGGCCGCAGAUGCUAUCUCCGACCGAGCAAAGGGCCUUGUUAAUAAAUACCUAAAUAGGCGUGUUCUUAGUCCAGCCAAGAUUGCCCAUUCCCCUUAAUUAAGUAAGAUUCAAGAAAGAACGGAUAGGUCCAGCAGAGGGAACUUCACGCUGCCAUUGAUGUUUUUUUUUUAAUAAUUACUAAUAGCUAGACAGAGAGCUUCCUACUAGAAAUUUGGAUAGGACUAACAGCAGCUGGGAAACGAGAGAGAAGAUGCAGCUACCUUCUCAGGAUCUUGAUAUGGUAAAUACCUUUCAUAUAUUCUUGCAUGGUUUUAAACCCGGCAUGGUUUAUGAUCUAUGCGGGUGGGUUAGUCCAAGACGAUUCACUUGGUUCAUAUGAUUAACUCUCAACCUAGUUCAAUAUAAAACUCAAUUUGGAUAGGCCUCAGAUCAGUAAAUUAUCGGAUUAACUUGCUGGGCUGAGGAUAAAUUCUAUAACAAUGUAUUUUUGUGAUAAAUUAUAUUUUUGUUUACAUAUAUAAAUUAAAAAAAAGGUUCAAGAUUUGAUCUCUUAUAUAUUAGAAUAAGUUGUCGAUAUUAAUUUUGUCGAGGUCGCAACUUGGCAAGCAUGAUCGUGUUGAUAGAGACAGCACUAGUCAUGCUACAACUUUUUGUGCUCUUACCAAAAUGAGUUUACUUUGAAUCAACUCUAAUUGUGAAUUCAACCCUUGCGCAUGAUCGCAGAACCACCUUCCCACCCACGCACGAAGGUUCAAGCCUAUUUACAAAUCCCGACCAUAAUACCCUUCAAUGAUAUAUAUAAGACAUGCUGUGAUCUCAAGAAUCAAGAAAUUCUACUCCUCAUAUUUCAUUGUUUUCUUGAACAAUCUUCUUCCUUGUCAGUGUGAUUCUUAGUUUGAUGGAGUGUGUGCAAAUCACUGUAGAGGAAGAGCAGAGAGAUGAAUCCCAGGAGUUGCUUCAACACCUCCCAACAGAAAUAGGUAUGGGAGGCAAUCUUCUCUAUCUAUACCAAGGAUUCUGGUGUCCACAGGUAUCAAUCAAGGGCAUGAUGUUGUUUCAACAACACUUCAAGGCACAAGAAACUGACCUCAUACUUGCCAGCAUUCCAAAAUCAGGUACCACUUGGUUAAAGGCCUUGACUUAUACUAUAGUUAAUCGCUCCCAUCACUCACUUGAAAAGAGCCCUUUGCUCACCAAUGGCCCUCAUGGGGUGGUGCCCUUUCUUGAGUUUGAUAUCAGCUCCAGAAACCAGUUUCUGGAACAAGACAAGCUUCCCGAGCCUAGGAUUUUCGGAACCCACUCACCUUACACGGCACUCCCGUGUUCGGUCAAAGAUUCUGCUGCUAAGAUUGUGUAUGUGUGUCGGAAUCCUCUGGACAUGUUCAUUUCCUAUUGGAAAUUCAGUGUCAAUAUCCCGAAGGAGAAUGAGAAACACCUUUCACUAGGAGAUGCUUUUGACAAGUUUUGUCAGGGACUUCAUGGCUACGGUCCAUUUUGGGAUCAUUUAUUAGGGUAUUGGAAGGCAAGCUUGGAGAGACCUGAUAAGGUCUUGUUUCUGAAAUACGAGGACAUUAAAAAGAACAAUGUCCCCUACAUCAAGAAGCUAGCUAACUUUCUGGGGCUUCCUUUCUCUGUGGAGGAAGAGGAGCAAGGUUUGAUAGAGGAAACAUCGAGGCUAUGCAGCUUUGAAAGCAUGAAAAACUAUGAAGCAACCAUGACAGGCACAGGCCCUCUUGGGAUCCCAGCUAGUGCCUUCCUCAGGAAAGGACAGGUGGGAGAUUCACUGAAUUAUCUAACACCCUCAAUGGUGAGCCGUGUGGAGAAUCUGAUUCAAGAGAAGCUCCAAGAUUCUGGUCUCAGCUUCUGUCUGUCUAGCGCAUUCGAAAAUAGUUCUUGAGCUUUACUUUUUCUUUUUUAAUCUUUGAUGUAUUGAUCUGUAUUGAUGAUUGAAUCUAUACAGAAUAAGUGAUGAAAGAAAUGAGAUUUGAUGGGAGACAGGCAAAUUAAUGAUUACUGAUUUUAUUUCUUGGAUAUAUGCAUGUGGAAGGAACCCACAGGGAUAAUGAAAUUAGCUUUCCUUUGUUUCUC
rnacentral:lncRNA from 1 species